rnacentral:rRNA from 1 species
CAGUCGAGCGAAGCGCAUAGAUUUGAUUCUUCGGAUGAAGAUCUAUGCGACUGAGCGGCGGACGGGUGAGUAACGCGUGGGUAACCUGCCUUACACAGGGGGAUAACAGUUAGAAAUGACUGCUAAUACCGCAUAAGACCCCGGUACCGCAUGGUACAGAGGUAAAAACUGAGGUGGUGUAAGAUGGACCCGCGUCUGAUUAGGUAGUUGGUGAGGUAACGGCUCACCAAGCCGACGAUCAGUAGCCGGCCUGAGAGGGUGGACGGCCACAUUGGGACUGAGACACGGCCCAGACUCCUACGGAAGGCAGCAGUGGGGAAUAUUGCACAAUGGGGGAAACCCUGAUGCAGCGACGCCGCGUGAGCGAUGAAGUAUUUCGGUAUGUAAAGCUCUAUCAGCAGGGAAGAAAAUGACGGUACCUGACUAAGAAGCCCCGGCUAACUACGUGCCAGCAGCCGCGGUAAUACGUAGGGGGCAAGCGUUAUCCGGAUUUACUGGGUGUAAAGGGAGCAUAGACGGCAUGGCAAGCCAGAUGUGAAAUACCGGGGCUCAACCCCGGGACUGCAUUUGGAACUGUUAAGCUGGAGUGUCGGAGAGGCAGGCGGAAUUCCUAGUGUAGCGGUGAAAUGCGUAGAUAUUAGGAGGAACACCAGUGGCGAAGGCGGCCUGCUGGACGAUAACUGACGUUGAGGCUCGAAAGCGUGGGGAGCAAACAGGAUUAGAUACCCUGGUAGUCCACGCCGUAA